GAUGAACGCUAGCAACAGGCUUAACACAUGCAAGUCGAGGGGAAACGACAUCGAAAGCUUGCUUUUGAUGGGCGUCGACCGGCGCACGGGUGAGUAACGCGUAUCCAACCUGCCCAUCACUUGGGAAUAACCUUGCGAAAGUAAGACUAAUACCCAAUGAUAUCCCACGAAGGCAUCGGAAUGGGAUUAAAGAUUUAUCGGUGAUGGAUGGGGAUGCGUCUGAUUAGCUUGUUGGCGGGGUAACGGCCCACCAAGGCAACGAUCAGUAGGGGUUCUGAGAGGAAGGUCCCCCACAUUGGAACUGAGACACGGUCCAAACUCCUACGGGAGGCAGCAGUGAGGAAUAUUGGUCAAUGGGCGAGAGCCUGAACCAGCCAAGUAGCGUGCAGGAAGACGGCCCUAUGGGUUGUAAACUGCUUUUAGAAGGGAAUAAAGUGGGUCACGUGUGACUUUUUGCAUGUACCUUAUGAAUAAGGACCGGCUAAUUCCGUG
rnacentral:rRNA from 1 species